CCUACGGGUGGCUGCAGUGAGGAAUAUUGGGCAAUGGGCGCAAGCCUGACCCAGCAACGCCGCGUGGAGGAAGACGGCCUUUGGGUUGUAAACUCCUUUUGUCGGGGAAGAGGAAGGACGGUACCCGGCGAAUAAGUCACGGCUAACUACGUGCCAGCAGCCGCGGUAAUACGUAGGUGACAAGCGUUAUCCGGAAUUACUGGGCGUAAAGCGCACGCAGGCGGCUGAUCAAGUCUGACGUGAAAUCUCCCGGCUUAACUGGGAGGGGUCGUUGGAAACUGGUUGGCUUGAGGUGGUGAGAGGGGUGUGGAAUUCCCGGUGUAGUGGUGGAAUGCGUAGAUAUCGGGAGGAACACCAGUGGCGAAAGCGGCACCCUGGCACUGACCUGACGCUCAUGUGCGAAAGCGUGGGGAGCAAACGGGAUUAGAUACCCGGGUAGUC
rnacentral:rRNA from 1 species